rnacentral:rRNA from 1 species
AUUGAACGCUGGCGGCAGGCCUAACACAUGCAAGUCGAGCGAGCGGCGGACGGGUGAGUAAUGUCUGGGAAACUGCCUGAUGGAGGGGGAUAACUACCGGAAACGGUAGCCAAUACCGCAUACCAUCAGAUGUUCCCAGAUGGGAUUAGCUAGUAGGUGGGGUAACGGCUCACCUAGGCGACGCUCCCUAGCUGGUCUGAGAGGAUGACCAGCCACACUGGAACUGAGACACGGUCCAGACUCCUACGGGAGGCAGCAGUGGGGAAUAUUGCGCAAUGGGCGCAAGCCUGAUGCAGCCAUGCCGCGUGAGUGAAGAAGGCCUUCGGGUUGUAAAGCACUUUCAGCGGGGAGGCGUUACCCGCAGAGGAAGCACCGGCUAACUCCGUGCCAGCAGCCGCGGUAAUUC